CUCCUGCCAACUUGGCAGCUCAUCGCUGCUGUUACUAUCAACACCUCCAAGGGAAAAGGGAGAGGAGUCAGCUCUGAUCGCCUGGCGCACUGUGCAGCAAAUUCAUGUCAGAGCCAGCCUUGGAAUGUCUCCCAAGCUCCCAAGGCUCCUGGUGAGGAGGAAAAGGAGCCUUUCUCCCAGAUGUGAAACUGAUCCUAAGACCCCCUGUAAUUUCCUGCUGAAAAUCUCCACCAAGAAACACAGCCACAGCCACAGUUCUUCCUGGUAAGAAGCCCCCAGGGCCAGGCAACAAGAAAAGUGAGCUCGUUCAGCAGGCUGGGAUGUAAAUAAGCCACAAGAGGCUGUGCCAUUCUGGGUUGCACCUGUGAGCAUCACUCAGCUGAAGCCCCAUCAGCGUUUCCAUGACAAACUCGUAUUUCCGGAUGCCUUUCUUCCAGCUUGAAGAGCCUGCCUCGUGGUUGUGAAAAGUGAAAAAGAAAAUCUAAAAAAGACAAAUGGAGAAGGAACAGCUAGUGAAGUCAGAGGAAGAUUGGAAGACCCUGGUGUCCUGGAAGCAACUGAAGAAAGUGUUUCAAGAAGAAAGGAGUGAUCACAUGACUUAAAAUGCCACCGAUGGGUCAAAUAAGAACAGAGAAUUGACCAUGGAAUCUGUCAACACAGAAGUCAUCAGUGGCCUUGAUAAAUGUAGUUUCACUGCCAUGUGGGGGAAAAAUGAUGUCAUCAGCUGAAAGUGAGAAGCAAGGAGAACUGCGUGCAGGCCUGAAAAGAAAGGAGGCGUGAUGCAGUCAUCUGCCAGAGGGAGUAGGAGAGGCGACUUGCCUGGGGAAAACAGUGUAGGAUUGCUGGGCAGCAAUAUGGCAGCAAUGUGGUCCUCUGAGGAACGGCCACGUGAGGACACAGCAAGAAAGUAGCCAUCUACAAUUCAGGAAGAGUCUUCACCAGAAACCAAAUUGGACAGAAUCUUGGUCUUAGACUACUAGUCUCCAGAGCUGUGAGAAAAAAAAAAUCCAUGCUCAAGCCACCCACUCUAUAGCAUUUCGUUAUGGCAGCCAAGCUGAUGAGUACAAGCAUCAAAGAACUUGCAGACAUAUUUUAAUGUCACUACAAGGCCCCAGGGUUUAUGUAAGUAUAUUUAUCAUGCUGGACCAUGGAUUAUAAGCUGAGAAGUGAGGGAGGUGACAGCAUGGAGGAAUGCGUGAGUGAAAGGACUGGGGAACCAGUGUGUGGAAGGAAGUUCUCUGAGGGGAAGAGUGUAGGAGUGGGUGUACAAGGGAAGCAAGUUGAACAGAUAUGAGGUAGUGGUCAGAGAAAGCUGCUUGAAAUGGAGAUCUUGGACAUGGCACAGUUACUGCUGGUGAUAAGAUCUAGCAUUAGAUGAUGGGAGUGGGCAGCUGAGGCAGGCAGGGAGGGACAGGUCACUGGUGGUGAGAAGAUUAAUUAACUGGAGGCAGAAUGUUGGAGGGGUCAUCUAAUAGACACGGACCAGGAAUGAUGCUGAGUAUGGUGAUGAACAGACUGAUAGUGAGCCAGGUGCUCAUGUCUUUCACAAAUGGGGGAGUGAUGGGGAGAGAGUAGAUGAUUGCCACAGGGAGCAGUAGCAGGACAGAGCCUGACAGCCAGUGAGACACAAAGGGACAGUCCAGGUUUUAAUUGAGGGGGUGGGAGUUACUACUGGGUUGGCUAUUAAGGAGCCAUAUGCACAACCAAGUUAGGAGGAGAAGCAGAGGAUCUGAGUGCAUGCGUAUGCACACACACACACAAAUGCAUGUGCAUGGCAGAUGGUAAUAGCAUGUAUCUCAUAGGGCUGUUAAAAGGACCAACUGAGCUAAUACUUAGUGCUAAGACAGUGCCUGUGUGGGGUGUUUUCUGACACCAACCAACUCUCCAACAUCAACUGGGUGUCCAGCAAUUCAAUUCAAUUCAGUUCUGACACUACCGGGAGUUAGCAUCAGUUCCCACAAGUUAAAGGGAUCAAUCCCCCCACUUCCAGUGCCAGCUGCAAAUAACAAGCUACCCACACUUCUGCCCAGAUGACUACAAAUUUAGGCAUCCCCACACCACCCCCGAAGAGGUUCAGUAAUUUAUUAGGACAACUUGCAUUUAUUGGUUUAUUAUAAAGGAUACAAAUAAACAGCCAGAUAAAGAGCUACACAGGGCAAGAUCUGAAUGGAUGCCGAGUAUAGAAGCCUCUGUCUUCUGCAUUCACCAACCUUGGAACUCUUUGAAUUUCUUUGUUCAAAAG
rnacentral:lncRNA from 10 species